UACGUAGGGGGCUAGCGUUGUCCGGAAUCAUUGGGCGUAAAGCGCACGUAGGCGGCUUUCUAAGUCAGGGGUGAAAUCCUGGAGCUCAACUCCAGAACUGCCUUUGAUACUGGAGAGCUUGAGUCCGGAAGAGGUGAGUGGAACUCCGAGUGUAGAGGUGAAAUUCGUAGAUAUUCGGAAGAACACCAGUGGCGAAGGCGGCUCACUGGUCCGGUACUGACGCUGAUGUGCGAAAGCGUGGGGAGCAAACAGG
rnacentral:rRNA from 1 species